AACGAACGCUGGCGGCAGGCCUAAUACAUGCAAGUCGAACGGAUGUAGCAAUACAUUAGUGGCGCACGGGUGCGGAACACGUGGGAACAUACCCUUUGGUAAGGAAUAAUGUCUGGAAACGGACACUAAUACCUUAUAAUGACUUCGGUCCAAAGAUUUAUCGCCAAAGGAUUGGCCCGCGUCUGAUUAGGUAGUUGGCGGGGUAAUGGCCUACCAAGCCUACGAUCAGUAGCUGGUCUGAGAGGAUGAUCAGCCACACUGGAACUGAGACACGGUCCAGACUCCUACGGGAGGCAGCAGUAAGGAAUAUUGGACAAUGGGCGCAAGCCUGAUCCAGCCAUGCCGCGUGAGUGAAGAAGGCCUUAGGGUUGUAAAGCUCUUUCAAUAGUGAAGAUAAUGACGGUAGCUAUAGAAGAAGCCCCGGCUAAAUUCGUGCCAGCAGCCGCAGUAA
rnacentral:rRNA from 1 species